rnacentral:lncRNA from 1 species
CUCCUUCAAACAAGAAGGCUCUCAAGGCUGCAGCAAGCAAACUUUGCACAGGCUAGUCGUGUCAACUCACUGCCUCCAUCUGACUGCAGAGGGAGAGUCUCAAAUCUCAGUUCUGUUUUUUCUUUUUUCUGUUUUUAGGUUUCACUGUAUUCAGACGUAAAGAGAUGGAGAAUUACCUUCAUGAAUUAAACAACAUCUUUGUCUUCAGAGUAAGCUGUUGCUCGGAAGAGAAGGAUGGGGGAAAAAUGGAAAGAGAUCUCUGAGCAUUUAGAAGACGUGUUUCCUGUGUAGCAGCAGACCAGGCAAUGCAUCCCAGCACUGAUGACACAGGCAAAACCUCAAAUUUCAUCUUGAUGGCUGUUGCUGAUGCACCAGGAUCAAUGGAAUCUACAUUAAAGCUGCUCUCCUUGCUGAUAAGUUGCUCCCCUGGCCAGUACUGAUGUCAGUUAAUUGUACUGAAUUGUUAAAGACAGCAGAAAUUCAACCUUGUUAUUCUUUUUCUCCCGAAGCUCUUUCAUCUCCCAACUCCACUGCUCAUUCCUGGAGCCCAGCAGCAGUGGAAGGAAGCAAUUUUCUUUUGGCUGUGGGGAUGGGAAAUCGCUUUUGCACUUCCAAAAUGCCUUUUAUUCCUGCAGGGCCAUCUCUCUAUCAGGAUCCACAUUCACUGUUGCUCAGUACCUCUGCUCACAGCUCCCUUCUUUUUUUGUUUUGCUGCAGCCCCAACAGUUUGGUCACACUGGUGGCUCCUCUGCAGGGAAAAGGAAUCUUACUGUUUGCUGCAGUUGUCCCCCUUUGCCCCCGUCUUAAAGGAGGGAUUUGUUUGCUCCCUUUGGAGAUCUGACAUCCCAGCCUGUUCAGUGAACCCACCCAGCUGAGGUUGGAUCAGCCUGAGAAUUUCUUCAGGAACAGCCAGAACUUGCUGUCAAACCAUAUCUAACUCUGUCAAG